rnacentral:lncRNA from 1 species
UCGACCCCUACACAUCCUACGCAAAGCCCCCAUGACCUCCGCCGCCCUAAUGCGCCUGCAGUACCCAAGGUCUCUCUCGUCAAUCCCGGUCGCUCGACCCCUACUCAUCCUACGCAAAGCCCCAUGACCUCAUCCGCCCAAUGCGCCUGCAGUACCCAAGGUCUCUAUGUUGCUCUGAAUGCCCCAAAUCCCCUAAUUCUAUGUUACGAUCCACCUCCCCGUUAAGUAAGCUCGAAAGUACGCCUGCCAGCUCUGCUUGACUUGAGACUCCCCCAUCAAAACUCUACCAUCCUCUCCCUUGAUGCACCUAACUUGGUCAAGAUCACGCGCCUUCCUUUCCCUUUCUUUAGCUAACCUGAAUAACUUCUUGUCCCUGCCUUUCUCCCCUAAUUCCUCGUACAUGUAACCAAACGCCGCAUUUUUUGCUCCCGUAACCGCCAUCUUUACUUCUUUCUUCGCCGCUUUAUAGAUCUCCCUGUUCGCUCUAUGUUCUUCCUCGCUUGUGCUCCCUGCCAUCUUAGCAAACGCCGCCUUCUUCGCCUCCACUUUAC